rnacentral:rRNA from 1 species
AUUGAACGCUGGCGGCAGGCCUAACACAUGCAAGUCGAACGAGUGGCGGACGGGUGAGUAAUGUCUGGGAAACUGCCCGAUGGAGGGGGAUAACUACUGGAAACGGUAGCUAAUACCGCAUACCAUCGGAUGUGCCCAGAUGGGAUUAGCUAGUAGGUUGGGUAACGGCUCACCAAGGCGACGAGCCCUAGCUGGUCUGGGAGGAUGACCAGCCACACGGGAACUGAGACACGGUCCAGACUCUUACGGGAGGCAGCAGUGGGGAAUAUUGCACAAUGGGCGCAAGCCUGAGGCAGCCAGGCCGCGUGUAUGAAGAAGGCCUUUGGGUUGUAAAGUACUUUCAGCGAGGAGGCGUUACUCGCAGAAGAAGCACCGGCUAACUCCGUGCCAGCAGCCGCGGUAAUUC